AGUGUCUUGUUCUGACCUGUGUGCGCAAAGAGCCUCUGUUUUAUUUGGCCAUUUGCCUUAUCUUACCUAGAACAUACCGUGAUCUAAGAAAAUAUUUCUCAUAAACAUAUCAGAAAUCACAGCACUCAUUAAAUCAGAAGGCACUGGUUGUUUUUUGUUUGUUUUGUUUUGUUUUUUUGAGACAGAGUCUCGCUCUGUUGCCCAGGCUGGAGUGCAGUGACGAUCUCAGCUCACUAUGACCUCCGCCUCCCGGGCUCAAACAGUCCUCCCACCUCAGCCUCCAGCUGAGACUACAGGCGCAUGCCACCACACCCAGCCAAUUUUUGUUUCUGUUUUGUAUGUGCGUGUUUGGUAGAGACAUGGUUUUGCCGUGUUGGCCAGGCUGUUCUCGAACUCCUGGGCUGAGUUCUCCCAGCCUCUUUUUUCUCUGUCUUUUUUUUUUUUUUUUUUUGACAGGGUCUCGCUCUGUCAUCCACGCUGGAGUGCAGUGGCGCGAUCACAGCUCACUACAGCCUCAAUCAACCUCCUGGGCUCAAGCUAUCUUCUCACCUCAGCCUCCCAAGUAGCCGGGGCUACAGGUGUGCACCACCACACCCGGCUAAUUUUUAAAAAUUUUUGUAGAGACGAAGUCCCACUGUGUUGUCCAGGUUGGUCUUGAAUUUCUAGGCUCAAACGAUUCUCCUGCCUCGGCCCCCCGAAGUGUUGGGAUUACAGGCAUGAGCCACUGCACCCAGCCUCUGUCUUUUUGUUCAAGACCUAGCCUGUAAGAAUCAAUAGAUACUUAUUGCCAGGUUAUUAUACGUGAGGCAGAGAAGUGAAAAAUCAAAAGCUCAUAGAUUAAGGCAGGACUGACCUCACAGGUCACUUAAUUCAAUUUCUUCAUGUUGUUGGGAAAAAUGAGGCCCAGAGGGAGUGAGCGACUUGCCCAGCAUCACACAACCAAUUAACAGCAGAACCAGAGGACUCCUUACUCUGACCAGCAGUCCCUCUUGUGGGGCAUAGAAGAUAAACAUGACCCACAGUUGAGCAGAAUCUCGACCUGACAAGAUCCUACCCAGCGUUCAAGGCCUUAUGCAGCUCAUUAUCUCUCCGGGAAUGCUGAGCAAGUCUCCGUGCAUCUCCAUGAGUCUUCACGGCAAUACUGUCACAUGAAUACAAGACACAGCAAGCCUGCUGCUAUGCUCAGGCUCGACAGCUAGACAUCUCUGGACUCCGUCUCACCUUGCUCUGCCUGUUCCACCCCCUGCUCCAUGGUGUGCCCAAGAAAGAGGAAGCCCCAUCUGAAAGAGUGAGGAGUGCU
rnacentral:lncRNA from 1 species